GAUGAACGCUGGCGGCGUGCCUAAUACAUGCAAGUCGAGCGAACAGACGAGGAGCUUGCUCCUCUGACGUUAGCGGCGGACGGGUGAGUAACACGUGGAUAACCUCCCUAUAAGACUGGGAUCACUUCGGGAAACCGGAGCUAAUACCGGAUAAUCUGUUGCAUCGCAUGGUUCAACAGUGAAAGACGGUCUUGCUGUAACUUCUAGAUGGAUCCGCGCCGCAUUAGCUAGUUGGUAAGGUAACGGCUUACCACGGCAACGAUGCGUAGCCGACCUGAGAGAGGGAUCGGCCACCCGGGAACGGAGCCAGGGUCCAGACUCCUACGGGAGGCAGCAGUAGGGAAUCGUCCGCAAUGGGCGAGAGCCUGGCGGAGCAACGCCGCGUGAGUGAAGAAGGUCUUCGGAUCGUAAAACUCUGUUAUGAGGGAAGAACAAAUGUGUAAGUAACCAUGCACGUCUUGACGGUACCUAAUCAGAAAGCCACGGCUAACUACGUG
rnacentral:rRNA from 1 species